AAACAAACCCGAUUCACAUCAAGAAAAGACUCCUCCCGUCCCGUCAAAGUGCAGCAGCAGCAGGAAGAAAAAGUGCCAGUCUCAGCAGAAUAUCCGUCGGAAAUUUCGUGUUUUCCGGAGAAAAAUCCAGUGUGUGCGUCCCGCGGCCAGUACCACCUGAAACCAGCGCAGUAAUUGUUGCAUUUAGCUGAGCUUCAGCCCCUGCGAAAUCCAUAAUCAUCCAAAAUGUCUGCUCCUGAGGGAUCAUCAAAUGGUUUUCCUAAAUUACCGCCCCCGCCGACCGGUAGCACCCAGCCCGCGGCCAGCAGCGCCAACGGAGCGGCGGCCAACCGACUAAAGCAAACCCAAGCCCAGGUGGACGAAGUGGUCGGCAUCAUGCGCGUCAACGUCGAGAAGGUACUCGAGCGGGAUCAGAAACUUUCCGAACUGGACCAACGGGCAGACGCACUGCAGCACGGAGCGUCCCAGUUCGAGCAGCAGGCCGGCAAGCUCAAGCGGAAGCAGUGGUGGGCCAACAUGAAGAUGAUGAUCAUCAUGGGCAUCAUCGGAGUGGUCCUGCUAAUUAUCAUCAUCCUGGUAAUUGUCACUCAAACUAACUGACCCUCAAACUAACAGACCCAAAACCAGGAUCACGAGGUCUUGGCCUUGGACCACACGCACAUACAAACAGAUGUGAACACAUUUGCUCGCAUGAUUUUACUAAGACUGCUAACACACAUGUGAGGCUAACCCAACCCUAACCCCACCCGUUUCCAUCGUCUAUUAAACCCAGUUGCUUCGACGUCCCCCCAAAUACGCACACACCCGCACACAUAAAUACACACUUACUCGUAGCAGAAGUAUCCGAUCUUUUUCGCCAGUAAAAAAAAAAGACGAAGACGAAGAAUAACAAGUUUCGGAUCACGCAUCGGAAAAAAGGGGAGAAAGCUUGCCCGGCAGAAAAUCGCGCAAUCCAAUUUAUUUUUUCUUCGAAGCCAGUGCCCCGAACUGGCGGUCCGUGAAUCCAUCUGAACCGCCCCUAUCGUCGCCGUGGUUGGGCCCAUUAUGAUAGGUGACCAUUAUCCUUCGGCGAGAAGAAAGGAACUUUUGGAAGUGUGCGAUGAAAGAUUAUCACAGAACGAUAGCAUUAAUAGACGUCCGUGCAAAAAAUGGCGUAAUCCAUUGUUAGAGCUUUUUUUCUCUUUUGAAGCUUAGAAGGGGGCAAUUUCUUUCUCCGAUUAUGAUAGGAAAAAAUAGGGUUAGCACAAAAAGGUGAUUCAUCUCUCGCAUUCUUUGCUGUUUAGAAAAAGAAAUCGUUCUACCCGAACUCGAAAGCAAUAAAAGUAAACUAGGUCUCGAAGGUUAGGACGACCUUGACUCCUGGCAAAGAAGUAAGAAAGUUGCAAGAAGUUGUUUUUGGAUUAGAUUAGAUAAACGAAAUUCUUUAUCUGUUUCUGGGUCAGGACUGUGAAACUUUACUCCACAAUAGAAAUUUUAAAUAUACAAAUGAGAAAUGAAAGCAUCACCUUAUUAUUUAGUUAACGGUUUCAAUUGUAACAAGGUAACAGGACGACACGUCAAAUAUUUUUCCCGGAAUAAUGAAAUUUAGCAUGAGACGGAGAGGAUGGUAUUUGCUAUUAUCUAGACUUUUAUGUAAUUGUUAUCAAUCUAUAAAACUAUUAUAUUAAACGAAAAUCUUUAAUAUAUUAAAGGAUACUAAUUUACAAUG